UCUCCUAGACCUCUCCUCGUCUCACUCCAUCUCUCCGUCCAGCUUAAAUUAGAACCCAAUUCUGCAUAUUGAAACUAUCUAUUUGAGCAUGUAAUUUCAGUCUUUAGGCUUUCAAUUUAUAUUUUUAUUUACAUUAAUCCAACAAAAACAAAAUGUAUUUCUCUCAUCUUCCCCUAAUUUUGGUCUGAUUUCCUCUAUUUCUCUACUCCCUCUAACAUACCCUAAAUUUUGACUUGUCGAUAAGUGGUUUGUGGCGGCAGCAGUGUAUUCCCUCCUCCUCUUCCUUUGUUGUCCCUAAAUUAAAGGUUAAUUUUUAAUUUUGUGUGUUUACUAUUAAGAAACCUAAUAUUAUUUGUACCUACCUGUGUGUAUUUUAUUGUAUAUCUUGUUCUGUAGUAAUUAGGAAAGCUUACAACGUGUUUGAUAAAUUGCCUACUCGAACUAUAUCUCUCUUCCCCCUGCUUUUAUUGCAGUUAAUCUUUCUUGGACUAUACAGAUGGCCUGUUAAAGCAUAUUGGUUACGGUCGAUAAUGUAUAUGGAUGAUAGUUUAUCCUUGUACACCUACACAUUUUAUUCAACCCUGCUUGUUCUUACUAAAUUAAUGCAUUGGGUUUUGUCGAGAAAGAAGUUAUUUCAUCUUCAGUGUCUCGUUUGAAAUAAAUUCCUUUGUUAAAACAUAAGUAAUUCAGCACAACUUUCCACUUUUUAAAUCAUUGUAUGUAAAUACUGAUGUAAUAGUAGAUCUCUUGCCCCUUAAUUUGUUAUUAGCCUACUGCAACUGGUAUAUUCUUAAAUACGUUUGUUUGUUGUGCAGAAGUCUGAAGCUUCCAAGUGUGCUUUGCCAAGCAAAAAUUGGUGUAAGUUGCCCUCCCCUAAGAAAGAAACCUGCUUCAAAUGUAUUGUUAAGUUGGUUCUAUGAUCUAUCUCAGAUAUAUGUUUGUAUAUAAUUUCUGAUCUCAAAUCAAUAUAUAUAUUUUCUGAUCCCAAAUCAAUAUAUAUUUCCUUGGUAAAUGAAAGAAAGUAAAUGAUAAAGAAAGAGUAUUAUCUUUAUAGGUUUUGAAGUCUUAGGUAAGUGGGUAUAUAUCUAAUAGUUAUGUAUAUAUGUUUAUAUAUGUAUAAUAAGAGUAGUCUGAAGUCUUUGGUAAGUGGGUAUAUAUGUAAUAGUUAUGUAUAUAUGUUUAUAUAUGUAUAAUAAGAGUUGUCUGAACUAGACACCAACUUCUGGAUUGGAGGUGCACUUGUUUUUGAAGACGGGCCUUUUAAGGUUCGUGGAUAACAAGCCUACUCAAAAACUAUUUUCUGCAUAAGUCAUUAACGUUAGAUAUAUUAAUUGAAGCCUUCACCUGGAUUGCCACGAGUCAAGAAGUAAUUUGUGACGGAGGAUAAACAAUGAACAAAAAGGGGAAUCAGUUGCAUAUAACGGUAGAUAUAUUAAAUGUAGCCUUCACCUCUGACUUAUUAUAGCCAUUAGAUAUAUCAUCCAUCUGGUCCAAAAUAAUUCAUGAUGCUUUCUUCUAUUUUGUAGCGGGAUACUUUCUCCUUAUCCAACAUUGUGUUAUUUGCUUGGGAAAAAAGUUAUUGUUUCCAUUCAUACAACAUAAGACUGCUUCCUGCUCAUAAUUAUUAAAUCCAACUGUUGACUCUGUUUAAUAUCCAAGCAGAGAAUUCAGUAACACUAUAAUGUCAAAUUAUUGUGGCUGCAAUAUUACCUCUUAGUACUCGGUGUUUUAGAAUUUACUUAUUUAAAGUGGGCUUACUGAAGUAUUAAAAUGCAUGGUUUGAUUUUAUGUUGGUUUGGAAAAGAAUAAAAAAUCAGUUUCGCAUAUGGAUUUGUUUUAGAAAAUACUUCAAAUCAACAAUUGAUUUCUGAUGUUGGGUUCAAAUUGAGUAAUUUGUUUACUUUGUCUGUCAGUCUGUACUUUUAAAUGCAUUUUGAAAAUGAUUUGUUUGGUAGAUUGGAUAUAAUAGAUGAUCAUUUGGGUGGUUCACGGUGUUUAUGUGGUGAUAAUGGUCUUAUCCUUUCUGAUGUAUGUUUGUUUACUACUUUGAUUCUGCUUGAUAUCAUGUUUAAUGUACUGUUUAAGUGCAUGAAGAAGUUUGUUGAAUAUCCCAAUCUUCGCUGCUAAACGUGAGAUAUCUUUCCGGUAACAGAUGUUAUGAUCAUCAUAAUACUUCAGUUUGCUCUGUUUAUUAGUUGCUUUAAAAAUCAAAUUUAUCAGUUUGUUUGUGCACAUUAGAGAGCUAAGGAGAGAGAGAGAGCUUAAUUGCCCAUUAGGCUCUUUAUUACUACUCUGUAAUGACUACCUAUUGGGUUGUAGUUUCCGUAGAAAUUGCUUGUGUCUGAUUAAUAAUUGAGUAAAAAGGUGUGGUUUAAUAUUCCCACGGUCAAUCACAAAAGAGGAGUGACAUUAUAAUUUGACCACAUUUGAAAAAUAUUCUUCUACAUUAAUAUUCUCACGGUCAAUCAGGAAAGAUUUAGCAUUCAAAUAUUUUUGAUUCUAAAUACACUGUAAAAGACUAACUUGAGUCAUUUUAGAAUAAUAGAAGUAGUUGAGGACUCUUCUGUUUUCUGAUCCUCGACUUAUGAUUGUUGGUAGGCAAGUGAAUUUUUUAAGCAUUCUGAAUCUAACCCCAGCUACACAAACAUUAAGGAAUUGAUAUAUUCACUCUCAGUUGCCACUUAGUUCCUUUGUUUACUUGCAUAAUAUAGCUUUGAACAGAAUCCAAGACCAUUCCAAAUUUGCUUAAUGAAGUCUCUAACAUUCCAAUCCUGUGUUCAAGUUCUUCACUGAUCCGACCUGCUCAUGCAAGUUAUAAACUAAGAACAUCAUGCAAGAUUAAUCAUGUAUCAUUGUUUAAACAAAUAGUUCAAAAACAUUCUAAUCAAAAUUUUUUGGAACAAUCAAAUAGAAGAUGUAGCAGUUGCAUUUUUCCUAGUAAAUAAAAUAGGAGUUUAAUAAAAUAAAUUUUUAUGGAAUUGCAUAUGUUAUAUUAAUGUAAUGCGAUAUGUGCAAUGUGAUAUAAAUGUCUGCGAUAAGGUAAAUAUAUAUAACAUUAUAUAUUUACUGUGAUUGAGCAAUUUGUUAAAAAGUAAUUUAAAUGGAAAAGGUAAAUAAAUAGUUGAGCAUACAAAAAUUUAUUGUAUACCUUAAAAGAUAUUAAGAUAAUUUAUAAAGUUAAAUCUAUCUAUACAAAACACAAGUGUUUUUGAAAAAAUUAAUUUUCCACUCUCAGCUUAUUAAAAGAUCCGGACCGUUCAAAGUUGGGAUAAAUCUAACCCUUCAAAAAUACCUAAGUUAGCUAUAUACAAGACAUCUACCAAACACACAGAUGAUACGUAUAAAUCUUUGAACUUUAUAAAUCCAUUUUCGAAUCUGUAAAUUCGUUGGUUUUGAUUGUUGGAAUUAGAUCUACCCAUCAGGAGAAAGUAAGAAAAUGAAGAAGGAAUCUAAAGGAGUUGGAAUUAGAUGGGAUUGAAGGCAUCACACUGAUGUCAUUAUUCUGGAUUGUCAUUCGUCAGCUUGUAGAGAUUGAAGCUAUGGUAUUAACAUUCAUGUACCCUUCGCAUCUUUGUUGAGGUUUUGAUAGUUUUUUAUUUAUAAUUUUUAUAUAUCCC
rnacentral:lncRNA from 1 species